AGCGCGGUGGUCCCACCUGACCCCAUGCCGAACUCAGAAGUGAAACGCCGUAGCGCCGAUGGUAGUGUGGGGUCUCCCCAUGCGAGAGUAGGACACUGCCAGGC
rnacentral:rRNA from 4 species